GCCAGACUCCUACGGGAGGCAGCAGUGGGGAAUAUUGCACAAUGGGGGAAACCCUGAUGCAGCGACGCCGCGUGAGUGAAGAAGUAUUUCGGUAUGUAAAGCUCUCUCAGCAGGGAAGAAAAUGACGGUACCUGAUUAAGAAGCCCCGGCUAACUACGUGCCAGCAGCCGCGGUAAUACGUAGGGGGCAAGCGUUAUCCGGAUUUACUGGGUGUAAAGGGAGCGUAGACGGUGAUGCAAGUCAGAAGUGAAAGCCCGGGGCUCAACUCCGGGACUGCUUUUGAAACUGUGUAACUGGAGUGCAGGAGAGGUAAGCGGAAUUCCUGGUGUAGCGGUGAAAUGCGUAGAUAUCAGGAGGAACACCAGUGGCGAAGGCGGCUUACUGGACUGUAACUGACGUUGAGGCUCGAAAGCGUGGGGAGCAAACAGGAUUAGAUACCCCGGUAC
rnacentral:rRNA from 1 species